rnacentral:rRNA from 1 species
CCGGCACGGGUGAGUAACACGUAUCCAACCUGCCGUCUACUCUUGGACAGCCUUCUGAAAGGAAGAUUAAUACAAGAUGGCAUCAUGAGUCCACAUGUUCACAUGAUUAAAGGUAUUCCGGUAGACGAUGGGGAUGCGUUCCAUUAGAUAGUAGGCGGGGUAACGGCCCACCUAGUCUUCGAUGGAUAGGGGUUCUGAGAGGAAGGCCCCCCACAUUGGAACUGAGACACGGUCCAA